UGGGGAAUAUUGGACAAUGGGCGAAAGCCUGAUCCAGCCAUGCCGCGUGUGUGAAGAAGGUCUUCGGAUUGUAAAGCACUUUAAGUUGGGAGGAAGGGCAGUAAGCGAAUACCUUGCUGUUUUGACGUUACCGACAGAAUAAGCACCGGCUAACUCUGUGCCAGCAGCCGCGGUAAUACAGAGGGUGCAAGCGUUAAUCGGAAUUACUGGGCGUAAAGCGCGCGGAGGUGGUUCGUUAAGUUGAAUGUGAAAGCCCCGGGCUCAACCUGGGAACUGCAUCCAAAACUGGCGGGCUAGAGUAGGGCAGAGGGUGGUGGAAUUUCCUGUGUAGCGGUGAAAUGCGUAGAUAUAGGAAGGAACACCAGUGGCGAAGGCGACCACCUGGGCUAAUACUGACACUGAGGUGCGAAAGCGUGGGGAGCAAACAGG
rnacentral:rRNA from 1 species